rnacentral:rRNA from 1 species
AUUUAUUAGAACAAAACCAAUUGGCUUCGGCCAGUACAUUGGUGAAUCUGAAUAACUACGCUGAUCGCAUGGUCUCGUACCGGCGACGUAUCCUUCAAGUGUCUGCCUUAUCAACUUUCGAUGGUAGUUUACAUGACUACCAUGGUCGUAACGGGUAACGGAGAAUAAGGGUUCGACUCCGGAGAGGGAGCCUGAGAAACGGCUACCACAUCCAAGGAAGGCAGCAGGCGCGCAAAUUACCCACUCUCAGAACGAGGAGGUAGUGACGAAAAAUAACGAGACAGUUCUCUAUGAGGUCUGUCAUCGGAAUGGGUACAAUCUAAACCCUUUAACGAGGAUCUAUUGGAGGGCAAGUCUGGUGCCAGCAGCCGCGGUAAUUCCAGCUCCAAUAGCGUAUAUUAAAGUUGUUGCGGUUAAAAAGCUCGUAGUUGGAUUUCAGCCAAGGACAACCGACCCGUGCCUCCGGGUACUGGCGUCUGGUCUGUUCGAGGCAUUUCUUGGUGGACGCUUGGGCUCUUGAAUGAGCUGAACGGACUCCAGGACUUUUACUUUGAGGAAAUUAGAGUGUUUCAAGCA